UCACUCACAGGGUAAAGUCAGUGUCAAUGGCCAAAUUUACUUCACAGGAAGUUAGUGCCCUUCAAGGAGGCAGAAAUGCGAGUGCGAAGGAAAUUUAUUUCAAAGAAUGGGAUCCUCAACGACAAUCUUUCCCAGACAGUAGUAAUGUUGAGAGGCUUCGGGACAUCAUUAAACAUGUGUAUGUGGAUAGAAGAUAUUCUGAUUUGA